GCCCGAGUGGCGGAACUGGUAGACGCGCACGACUCAAACUCGUGUAUCUUUGAUGUGCCGGUUCGAUUCCGGCCUCGGGUA
rnacentral:tRNA from 1 species